UACAGAGGGGGCAAGCGUUGUUCGGAAUUAUUGGGCGUAAAGCGUCCGCAGGUGGCUGUUCAAGUCUGCUGUCAAAGCGCAGAGCUUAACUCUGUACAGGCGGUGGAAACUGAAGAGCUAGAGUAUGGUAGGGGUAGAGGGAAUUCCCGGUGUAGCGGUGAAAUGCGUAGAUAUCGGGAAGAACACCAGUGGCGAAAGCGCUCUACUGGGCCAUAACUGACACUGAGGGACGAAAGCUAGGGGAGCGAAAGGG
rnacentral:rRNA from 1 species